AUACGGAGGGUGCAAGCGUUAUUCGGAAUUACGGGGCGUAAAGGGCGCGUAGGCGGCGCAUUAAGUCAGUUGUGAAAGCCCGGGGCUCAACCCCGGAAGUGCAAUUGAAACUGGUGUGCUUGAGUAUGGUAGAGGGAAGUGGAAUUCCUGGUGUAGUGGUGAAAUGCGUAGAUAUCAGGAGGAACACCCGUGGCGAAGGCGACUUCCUGGACCAAUACUGACGCUGAGGCGCGAAAGCGUGGGGAGCAAACAGGAUUAGAAACCCCAGUAGUCC
rnacentral:rRNA from 1 species